rnacentral:misc_RNA from 1 species
AAUCAAGUGUUUUUAUGGCACUUUCAAAAAUCCAUAUCCACCUUGUGUGCAAUGUCAUCUCACUGGAGGUCACGGCUGUAACAAUCCGUUGGUCACCUUUGGGAUUUAUAUCUACUCAGAACUUUAGUGAUUUUGUCUGAAAACUAUUAUGAAUAAACAAUUCAAAUACAACUUUCAACAACGGAUCUCUUGGCUCU